CACUUGGAGGAUGUAUAAGUGACUAUGUCCUAUAAAAUUCUAGGUAAAAUAGUGAUGAUGACAUUAUUUACCUAUAUGUCUUGACCAAGUCACGUGCCAGCAGUCGCGGUAACACGUGGAAGACUAGUGUUAUUCAUCUUUAAUGGGUUUAUAGGGUACUUAGACGGUAAAUUAAGCCCAUAAAAAGGGUACUAAUAUACUAGAGUUUUAUGCGAGAGGGGGAGUAAUGUUGGAGUAGAGAUGAAAUAUUUUGAUACCAUCGGGUAACUGGCGACGGCGAAAGCAACCUUUUAUGUAAAAACUGACGUUGAAGGACGAAGG
rnacentral:rRNA from 1 species